rnacentral:rRNA from 1 species
UACGUAGGGGUGCAAGCGUUGUCCGGAAUUAUUGGGCGUAAAGAGCUCGUAGGCGGUUUGUCGCGUCGAAUGUGAAAACCCGGGGCUCAACUCCGGGCCUGCAUUCGAUACGGGCAGACUAGAGUUCGGUAGGGGAGACUGGAAUUCCUGGUGUAGCGGUGAAAUGCGCAGAUAUCAGGAGGAACACCGGUGGCGAAGGCGGGUCUCUGGGCCGAUACUGACGCUGAGGAGCGAAAGCGUGGGGAGCGAACAGG